rnacentral:rRNA from 1 species
AUUCCAGCUCCAAUAGCGUAUAUUAAAGUUGUUGCAGUUAAAAAGCUCGUAGUUGGACUUCUGGGUUGUGAUUGUGGUCCGCCUAACGGUGUGCACUGUGGUUGCGACUCUUCUUCCCGUAGUUUGGGGGUGCACUUAGUUGUGUGCUUUUGGAAUAUGGGACCUUUACUUUGAAAAAAUUAGAGUGUUCAAAGCAGGCCUUCGCUUGAAUACAUUAGCAUGGAAUAAUAGAAUAGGACUUUGGUUCUAUUUUGUUGGUUUCUAGGACCGAAGUAAUGAUUAAUAGGGACAGUUGGGGGCAUUAGUAUUUAAUUGUCAGAGGUGAAAUUCUUGGAUUUAUGAAAGACUAACUACUGCGAAAGCAUUUGCCAAGGAUGUUUUCAUUA